GACGAACGCUGGCGGCGUGCUUAACACAUGCAAGUCGCACGAAGUGGCGAACGGGUGAGUAACGCGUAAUCAACCUGCCCUUCAGAGGGGGACAACAGUUGGAAACGACUGCUAAUCCCGCCUACUGACGGAGGGGAUUGCGUCUGAUUAGCUAGUUGGAGGGGUAACGGCCCACCAAGGCGAUGCUCCGUAGGCGGUCUGAGAGGAUGAACGGCGACAUUGGGACUUCGACUGGGCCCAGACUCCUUCGGGAGGCAGCAGUGGGUGAUCUUCCGCAAUUGACGAAAGUCUGACGGGGCAACGCCGCGGGAGUGAUGACGGCCUUCGGGUUGUAAAGCUCUGUUAAUCGGGACGCGGUACCGAAAUAGAAUGCCACGGCUAACUACGUGCCAGCAGCCGCGGUAAUAC
rnacentral:rRNA from 1 species